rnacentral:lncRNA from 10 species
CCCCUGUUGCCAUAUGAGGCUACAGCUAGAAGAUGGCCACCUGGGGACCAGGAAGCAGGCCCUCACCGGACACCAAGUCUGCUGGCACCUUGAUCUUGGACUUCCCAGCUUCCAGAGCUGUGAGAAAUACAUUUCUGGGCUGGGCGCAGUGGCUCACGCCUGUAAUCCCAGCACUUUGGGAGGCCAAGGCGGGUGGAUCACCAGGUCAGGAGAUUGAGACCAUCCUGGCUAUAUAGUGAAACCCUGUCUCUACUAAAAACACAAAAAAUUAGCCAAGCGUCAUGAUAUUGUGAUUUCUCUUUACAAGAGGCACAGACAAGGGCAUUUCAAUGGGACCCAAUUUUGUACAUGAUCAUUCAGAGAUAAGAAAACUGAGGCUCACAGAAGUUACAUGGCUUGCCCAAAGUCCCAUUGCUUGAAAGUGCCAAACUACAGAAAGCACAAUGGAAGGAAGAUCAGGAGAGACGUGCCAUAUCCAAAGCCCUGCAAAGGGCUUUUGGAAACUUUGAUUCAAGAAAUAGAGCGGUUGGUAAUAAUCUCUGAUGAUCAGUCCGAGCUUGGCAUUUUCAUUGGCUGAGCAUCUAUGGUGGGUGCCGUAGAUAACCCCAGACUCACCAGCAGAGAUGAAGGCUUAUUUCCACAGCUGCCCUUCCAGGGGUGCUGCCUGAGAAUGCCCCGAGACGCCAGCCCUCCCGGAGAUGCCUCUAGUGAUGAACACUGCCUCAUCCAAGGCCAUGCUUCCUUCCAGGGGGAAGCCCACACGCUGCUCAACACUGGCAAUAUAGAAGCCUAGCCUGUCACUCUAAGUUGGGCAACUGCAGGGCCUUCCCAGCUCCAGAGCUCCUAAGGGGUCAGCACAGGCCUUUAUGGGACUGCAUCACAGCUCAAUUUCUUCCUCUGCCCACACCUGCCUCCAUAACCGCCUUCCUCAGGGUUGACACCCAGAGCACUUCCUAAUAAGCACCCUGCAUGCUACUCUGCUUCCCAGAGAACCACACCAGCCACAGGUGUGGGGGCCACAUACCUACCCUUGAGCUAGGGGAAGCCCUGGAGAAGGAAGCAGAGAACAUGUGGCUGGCAGAGAGAGGCCAGGAGCACCAAGUGGCGUGAGGACUCAAGGCUCACCCAGGACUGUCCACCAUACCUGUGUCUGCACUCAGGGCUGGGAGGGUGUAGGGCAGUAGCCAAGAGGCAAAUGAUACAGCUUGAAUCAGAGCUGAUUCCAAAACCACUAAACAAAUCUAGAUCUAACCCUAUUGAAGCUAAAUAGUAAUAAUUAUACACUGUCAUUAUUUUUUAGCACCUCAAUGUGCCCAGGUGAAAUGAUGUUAAUGGGAAGGAAAAGGGGAAAAUUAUGAUUUCAAGAACAGUCAUGAUGAGAACAGACAUAUGCCAGCGAACAAAAUCCUGUGCCUUUUGUGAGCCUGACAGCUGCCUUCAGUCCUGCUGGUCUGACCCCUGUAGUGACAUCAGGAAGAGUCCAGAAAGCAUCAGCAUUCCACUCCCACUUUCCCAGUGCAGCCAGGAAAAGGCCUAGUCACCAAGGAGGGCCUGCUUCCAGUUCUGUUUUUCCCAAGUCACUCACUGACAGGAGCUGAGGCCCAUAAUCAGAGGAAGCAAAAACGCUUCUCCCCUUAUUGCCAAGGGAAUCGCCAGGGGAUGCAGAGUGGCUCCAGGAGGAAAAUUAUGCUGAGCUGAGGCUUAGCCAUGGAGGAAGGCCCAAGGGCAUCAUCUAUGAACGUGUACGGGGUCACCUAGGCUUUUACAUGUGUACGAUGCUCGGUGUUUUGUUGUUGGGGGAUUUUAUAAUUACCCAAAUUACCUUGCUUCAACCUAUUUAGCAAUUCAUUUAAAGGAACUCUCCUAAUACGUGAAAGACCAGAAAAGACAGCUGAUUAGAAAUUCCAAUGGCCGGGUAUGGUGGCUCACACCUGUAAUCCCAGCACAUUGGGAGGCCAAGGAGGGAGAAUCACUUGAGGUCUGGAGUUCAAGUCCAGCCUGGCCAACAUGGUGAAACCCUGUCUCUACUAAAAAUACAAAAACAUUAACUGGGGGUGUUGGUGCAUGCCUGUAGGCCCAGCUACUUGGGAGGCGGAGGUGGGAGAAUUUCUUGAACCUGGAAAGCAGAGGCUGUAGUGAGCUGAGAUGGCACCACUGCACUCCAGCCUUCCAGCCUGGGUGACAGAGCAAGACUCCAUCUCAAAAAAAAAAAAAAAAA